rnacentral:rRNA from 1 species
CCUACGGGAGGCAGCAGUGAGGAAUAUUGGUCAAUGGACGAGAGUCUGAACCAGCCAAGUAGCGUGAAGGAUGACUGCCCUAUGGGUUGUAAACUUCUUUUAUAUGGGAAUAAAACGUUCCACGUGUGGGAUUUUGUAUGUACCAUAUGAAUAAGGAUCGGCUAACUCCGUGCCAGCAGCCGCGGUAAUACGGAGGAUCCGAGCGUUAUCCGGAUUUAUUGGGUUUAAAGGGAGCGUAGGUGGAUUGUUAAGUCAGUUGUGAAAGUUUGCGGCUCAACCGUAAAAUUGCAGUUGAAACUGGCAGUCUUGAGUACAGUAGAGGUGGGCGGAAUUCGUGGUGUAGCGGUGAAAUGCUUAGAUAUCACGAAGAACUCUGAUUGCGAAGGCAGUUCACUGGACUGCAACUGACACUGAGGCUCGAAAGUGUGGGUAUCAAACAGGAUUAGAUACCCUAGUAGUC